CAAGUCGAACGGUGAAGGUGGAGCUUGCUCCGCCGGAACAGUGGCGAACGGGUGAGUAACACGUGGGCAAUCUGCCCCUAACUCUGGGAUAACUACUCGAAAGAGUAGCUAAUACCGGAUACGAAAUCUGAGGACAUCCUCGGAUUUGGAAAGUUUUCGGUUAGGGAUGAGCCCGCGGCCUAUCAGCUGGUUGGUGAGGUAGUGGCUCACCAAGGCGACGACGGGUAGCCGGCCUGAGAGGGCGACCGGCCACACUGGGACUGAGACACGGCCCAGACUCC
rnacentral:rRNA from 2 species